rnacentral:rRNA from 1 species
CUUGGGCUUCUUUGCUGACGAGUGGCGGACGGGUGAGUAAUGUCUGGGAAACUGCCUGAUGGAGGGGGAUAACUACUGGAAACGGUAGCUAAUACCGCAUAACGUCGCAAGACCAAAGAGGGGGACCUUCGGGCCUCUUGCCAUCGGAUGUGCCCAGAUGGGAUUAGCUUGUUGGUGGGGUAACGGCUCACCAAGGCGACGAUCCCUAGCUGGUCUGAGAGGAUGACCAGCCACACUGGAACUGAGACACGGUCCAGACUCCUACGGGAGGCAGCAGUGGGGAAUAUUGCACAAUGGGCGCAAGCCUGAUGCAGCCAUGCCGCGUGUAUGAAGAAGGCCUUCGGGUUGUAAAGUACUUUCAGCGGGGAGGAAGGGAGUAAAGUUAAUACCUUUGCUCAUUGACGUUACCCGCAGAAGAAGCACCGGCUAACUCCGUGCCAGCAGCCGCGGUAAUACGGAGGGUGCAAGCGUUAAUCGGAAUUACUGGGCGUAAAGCGCACGCAGGCGGUUUGUUAAGUCAGAUGUGAAAUCCC